UAGAAGCAGGGCAGUUGCAGCAGCCUGCUGGAUACUUUGCCACAGAGAGCAGAGGCCGCCUGCCUCCCGGCUGGUUGAGACACGGGCAAGAACAAGUCAGCCCUGCUCAAUUCAGAAAGCUGGGAUGCAGUUUGGAAUCAGCAUGAUGGCCCAUUAAGGACCAUCUGCUACACAACUGACCCAUUGAGAGAAGGCAAGGGAUACACAUGAUGACUCAGCACGGCAGGCAGGUGCAUGGACAGAACUCUGAGGCUUCCAGGCCAUGUACUGAGCAGCUUGUGUUUGGGACAAAGGUAGUAUAAGCCGCAUGGCAAAAGUCUAUAAAAGGCCGCUGCAUCUUCUCCAUUUUGUCUUCAGUCCUGCUUCUUGUCUUUAUUCCUGCUUCUUACCUCUGGAGUAACCGUUCUACAAACGAAGCUCUGAACAAAGGACUGAAAGAUCCAUCCAAGCUGUGAAUGUUUUCCAGAGGGACUUUCAAGCCAGCAAACUCACCAACACUGCUAGGAACCUGAUGGACUUUGAAGGCUUUGUAUGUGACUGUUUUACCAUUUACCAUCUCUCUUCUUGGUCUUUCUUUUUUCUUGAUAAUAAAGCUUUAGUUUUAGACAUUAAA